rnacentral:rRNA from 1 species
GACGAACGCUGGCGGCGUGCUUAACACAUGCAAGUCGAACGGGUCUGCCCUGUUUUUUGCGGGGUGGGUCAGUGGCGAACGGGUGAGUAACACGUGAGUAACCUGCCCCUCACUUCUGGAUAACCGCUUGAAAGGGUGGCUAAUACGGGGUGUUCUGGCUGUGCCGCAUGGUGUGGCUGGGAAAGAUUCACUUUUGUGGUGUUUUGGUGGGGGAUGGGCUCGCGGCCUAUCAGCUUGUUGGUGGGGUGAUGGCCUGCCAAGGCUUUGACGGGUAGCCGGCCUGAGAGGGUGGGCGGUCACACUGGGACUGAGAUACGGCCCAGACUCCUGCGGGAGGCAGCAGUGGGGGGUAUUGCACAAUGGGCGGAAGCCUGAUGCAGCGACGUCGCGUGAGGGAUGGAGGCCUUCGGGUUGUGAACCUCUUUCGCCGGUGAAGAAGGUCCUGCUCUUUAUGGUGGGGUUGACGGUAGCCGGGUUAUGAAGCGCCGGCUAACUACGUG